CUACGGGCGGCUCCAGUGGGGAAUAUUGCACAAUGGGGGAAACCCUGAUGCAGCAACGCCGCGUGGAGGAUGACGCAUUUCGGUGUGUAAACUCCUUUUAUAUAGGAAGAUAAUGACGGUACUAUAUGAAUAAGCACCGGCUAACUCCGUGCCAGCAGCCGCGGUAAUACGGAGGGUGCAAGCGUUACUCGGAAUCACUGGGCGUAAAGCGCGCGCAGGCGGCCUUUUAAGUUGGAUGUGAAAGCCUAUGGCUUAACCAUAGAACUGCAUCCAAAACUAUCAGGCUAGAGUCUGGGAGGGGAAGAUGGAAUUAGUUGGGGAGGGGUAAAAACCGUAGAGAUAACUAGGAAUACCAAAAGCGAAGGCGAUCUUCUGGAACAGUACUGACGCUGAGGCGCGAAAGCGUGGGGAGCAAACAGGAUUAGAUACCCGCGUAGUC
rnacentral:rRNA from 1 species